AUACGGAGGGUGCAAGCGUUGUUCGGAAUUAUUGGGCGUAAAGCGCGUGUAGGCGGUCUUUUAAGUCUGAUGUGAAAGCCCCGGGCUCAACCUGGGAAGUGCAUUGGAAACUGGGAGACUUGAGUACGGGAGAGGAGAGUGGAAUUCCUAGUGUAGGAGUGAAAUCCGUAGAUAUUAGGAGGAACACCAGAGGCGAAGGCGACACUCUAGGCCACACCUGACGCUGAGACGCGACAGCACGGGGAGC
rnacentral:rRNA from 1 species